rnacentral:rRNA from 1 species
ACUCCUACGGGAGGCAGCAGUGGGGAAUCUUGGACAAUGGGCGCAAGCCUGAUCCAGCCAUGCCGCGUGAGUGAUGAAGGCCUUAGGGUCGUAAAAGCUCUUUCGCCAGAGAUGAUAAUGACAGUAUCUGGUAAAGAAACCCCGGCUAACUCCGUGCCAGCAGCCGCGGUAAUACGGAGGGGGUUAGCGUUGUUCGGAAUUACUGGGCGUAAAGCGCGCGUAGGCGGACUAGUCAGUCAGGGGUGAAAUCCCGGGGACUCAACCCCGGAACUGCCUUUGAUACUGCUAGUCUAGAGUUCGAGAGAGGUGAGUGGAAUUCCGAGUGUAGAGGUGAAAUUCGUAGAUAUUCGGAGGAACACCAGUGGCGAAGGCGGCUCACUGGCUCGAUACUGACGCUGAGGUGCGAAAGUGUGGGGGAGCAAACAGGAUUAGAUACCCUGGUAGACAUCAC